UGGCUCUCGCAUCGAUGAAGAACGCAGCGAAAUGCGAUACGUAAUGUGAAUUGCAGAAUUCAGUGAAUCAUCGAAUCUUUGAACGCAUCUUGCGCCUCUUGGUAUUCCGAGGGGCACACCCGUUUGAGUGUCGUGAAAUUCUCAACCUCGUCGGGUUUUCUUUUGAAAACCCGAUAAAGGCUUGGACUCUGGAGGCUCUUGCCGGCAGCAGCAGCAAGCUUUCUUUUGUUUGCUCGUCGUCGGCUCCUCUUAAAUGCAUUAGUGAGGUCCUCAUUGCUUGACCCUUUUGGCGUGAUUAAGUAUCUACGUCCUUAGUGUGUUCGGGCUAUGCUUUUCCGGGACUCGCUUCCAAUCGUCUCUUUUCCGGAGACAGUGUUGGGGGAUUUUCCGAUCGGAAAAUCGGGAAACCCAUUUCCCGAUCGGAAAAAACUCUCAUUAUAUUAUGACCCUUGACCUCAAAUCGGGUGGGACUACCCGCUGA
rnacentral:misc_RNA from 1 species